rnacentral:rRNA from 1 species
AGUGAACGCUGGCGGCGUGCUUAACACAUGCAAGUCGAACGAGAACGGAUUAUAGCUUGCUAUAAUUGUCAGCUAAGUGGCGCACGGGUGAGUAAUGUAUAGGUAAUAUGCCUCUUACUAAGGGAUAACAAAUGGAAACGUUUGCUAAUACCUUAUACUCCUUAUUAACAGAAGUUAAUAAGGGAAAGAUUUAUUGGUAAGAGAUUAGCCUGUAUUGUAUCAGUUAGUUGGUGGGGUAAUGGCUUACCAAGAAUAUGACACAUAACUGGUUUGGGAGGAUGAUCAGUCACACUGGAACUGGGACAUGGUCCAGACUCCUACGGGAGGCAGCAGUGGGGAAUAUUGCACAAUGGACGGAAGUCUGAUGCAGCAACGCCGCGUGGAGGAUGACACAUUUCGGUGCGUAAACUCCUUUUAUAUGGGAAGAUAAUGACGGUAUUAUAUGAAUAAGCACCGGCUAACUCCGUGCCAGCCGCCGCGGUAA